CCUACGGGUGACAGCAGUGAGGAAUAUUGGUCAAUGGCCGGAAGGCUGAACCAGCCAAGCCGCGUGAAGGACGAAGGUGCCAAGCAUUGUAAACUUCUUUUGUCAAGGGACAAAAUCAGGCUCGAGAGCCUGACCGAGGGUACUUGCAGAAAAAGCAUCGGCUAACUCCGUGCCAGCAGCCGCGGUAAUACGGAGGAUGCGAGCGUUAUCCGGAUUUAUUGGGUUUAAAGGGUGCGUAGGCGGACUGUUAAGUCAGCGGUAAAAGGCCGGGGCUCAACCCCGGAGAGCCGUUGAAACUGGGUGUCGUUAGAUGUCGAGAGGUAUGCGGAAUGCGCAGUGUAGCGGUGAAAUGCUUAGAUAUUGCGCAGAACUCCGAUUGCGAAGGCAGCAUACCGGCGGCGAUCUGACGCUGAGGCACGAAAGCGUGGGUAUCGAACAGGAUUAGAUACCCCAGUAGUC
rnacentral:rRNA from 1 species